CAGACAGAAAAAUAGAAAAAACAAACACUCCUGGUAGAAAUGGCGAGAAACGAAAGAGCAGGUGGAGAGGCCAUGCCUCCGUCAUCGUCCAGCUCGAGAUUAAGAGCAGGGAUAGACCCCUUUUUGGUUGUGUGUAGAUGCUUCAGCUUCGUCACGACUCUUACUGCCAUUCUCUGCAUUGCCGUCAACGUUCUCUCCGCCAUCCGGUCCGCCAGGGAAGGAUUCGAUGUACUUUUUCUUCUUAUACACAUUACAAUUUCUCAGUUAUAUGAGAUUUUGAUUUGUGAAUUGAUCGUUUAUUGUAAAUAUUAGAUGGGAUUUUUCGGCGUUACGCGGUGGUGAUUGCGUUUUUUGCGGUGGUUGCCGACACGGAGUGGGGAUCUAUCACUAAGUUUUGGAAGGUGUUGGAAUAUUGGGCUGGCAGGAGCAUGCUGCAGAUCUUGGUUGCAGUCAUGACAAGAGCUCUCCCUGACUAUUCAGCAAGCCAGAAGGAUCUUAUUCUUCUACAAAAUAUACCAAGCUAUUUGCUGCUUGCUUGUGGUGUGGUCUAUGUUGUUUCGGCAAGGUGACAAAAUAUAAUUAUUUCCCUGCAUUUAACUUGACUCUUUUGGAGUUUGAAGAAAUUUCCAACUCAAAUAUAUGAUUGAUGAAUUUCUUUUGUUUCUUAAGAACUUUUUUUGUUUCCUAAGAAAAAGGAAAAUAAUAAUUAUUGCAAUUUUAAUUUUCAGGGAAUUCUAUAUAUUGGCCUUCUCAAACGAGCACGCUAACUAUUAACAUGGAAAGAAAUGAUAUGUUUUAAAUUUGUGAUGGAGUUCAUUAAGGUUCUUGUUCAUGAUUCACUUCCAAGCUUGAAUAUGCAUAUUGUUAUUGUUUUAUGCAAUUAUGCUCCAGGAAAUAUGAGUUCAUAGAUCUCUAUAAGUGGCUCAUUUGCUGCGCUUUUCUUCUGCAAAUACAGAAAUAGUCCUCACCUACUAUCCUAGAAUAGUGGAAGGUAGGCCAACAUGAUGAGAUGAAUGAUAUGAUUUUACUUUGUUUCUUUAAGAUUUUUUUUUUUUUUUUAUGCAAUCCCUUAAAUGAGGACCACAUGUUUUACUGAUUUACAAAAUUAUAAGUAAAAAAUUUGUUCUCUGUGAAGCUCAUGCAUGCCUUAAGCAGAGAUUGUAAAUCACAAAGGUGAAUGUUGAAAGGUUCUCAUGAAUAAUCAAUAUAAACAUUAUGGUGAUUAUGGCAAUCAGUAACUGAGGUCAGUGUUAAUCUAUUUCUCCAUUUUACUGAUUAAGGUUACAGCAUUUGGGGUUUUAAUUUAAUGUUACAAGCCAUAUUUCAAAACUGUAGACCUGAUAAUUGUACACUGUGAAUUUGCUUGCCCAAUAGGUAGCACAAACGUAUGCAACUGGUUUUAAUAGACUUUUUUCCUUAAAAAAAAAUUAAUUAUUUAUGGAUAUUUGUUUGACAAAAUGUCUUUUGUUACUGGGAUUCCGUGUAUUAACUAACAUGGAUUAAAAGCACAGCAAUUGAAGCGGCGGUGAGAGGAACUUGAACAAUUGCUUGUGGCGGAAAGAAUUUGUCGCCAUUUUUGCUUACUGUUGUUCAGAUAGCAGUUACAAGUGGAGUGACUUCAAUGAGCCCCAGUUCUGUGAAUCUCACGUUUGUAUGCUUUUGUUGUCUCACUGAUUGAUUAUGUUUUAUGUUUUUGAGGCAGGAGCUUAAUUAUUGUAGACUUGCAUAGGUCAUGUGAUGGGCACUUAUCAAUUCUUUUUAUAAUUGAGUUUCCAACUAGUUAGGCUUUUAGUAUACAUGUUUUUCAUUAUCAAGUGCAUCGCAUAUUCAAUAAAGGUUGCACUUCAUGUUUCUUAUGUGCCUAUGCAUCUACAAGUCGAAUGCAUUGCUGGGGAACUUGUCAAAUUCAUCUUGUAGUUAUUUUUAAUAUAUUGUGCAGCCAAGAUCUCCUAUAUCAGUUAUGGAAAUUAUUUUUGAUGUAGACAAAACCAAUCAUGAAAAGAAUUUGAGACUUCUUUUAAAUUUUGUCAAUUUGCAUUUGCAUACAUUAUUUUUGAAUCUAAUUGUAUCUCUUCAGAAGCUGCAAACUGGUAAUUGAUGGCUUGUUUCUCUAUGUUGGAGAUAGAAAGACGAUGAAUUGCAGCUAAUUAUGGACAUCAGUAAUGCUUUUUCUGUAUCUCCAGUAGCCUGGUGUUUGAUAAAGGAAAUUACGUACUCCAAGAGCUCUGCAUCACAUGGCAAUGUAAGAGGCCCUUCGCUUGGCAAUCCAAACUCUUCUUCUGCCAUAUUGAAUACUUAUCUUAUAAUUUAAUUGUUAAGGUACUUCAAAGGGAGUAAAAAUCGUUUCCGAUCGGCAGUGUAAACAACAAAGUGGCCCUUCUCAGCUAUUUCCAGUGUGCUGUAACUGCUCAUGGCUUGUGACUGUAUGAUUCUUUUUAGCUUUAAAGCAGCUAGCUUCUUCCAUUUUUGUGCCAAGUUGAGGAGUCUCGUGGUGCUGAUCACCCUGCUACUGAAGGGAAGAAUCCAGAGGGAAAUUGUAAAGUAGGAAAGGUUGAAGAACUUCAGAAUUCAAUGUUGCAAAUUUUUUAUCUUUUGAUGGGUAGAGGGCAAAGGAAAUGACUUGAAUAUAUAUACACAAAGACCAAAGUAACAUUCAUGGAGGACCAAAACCAUGUGAUUAGUGGGUUUGUUUGGUCGGCGGGCAUGUUAAGUCACUCUCAUGGAGGUCCAAAACCAAGUGAUUGGGGGAUAUGGCUUGUUUGGAAGGUGGCUUUAUCGGCUUAUGUUCAAAAAUCAACCCAUCAAGGUGUUCCAUAGGAUUUUCAUAUCAUCUAAUUUAUGUCAUUAGACCAUAUAAGCUCUGACAAUGGACAAGAACUAAACCUCUAAAGUUCAGAUGAAUUUGAAUCCACUUUCGGAGUGAUUGGUGUAAGCUUGUAGAGUUGUGCAAGUUCGGUUUUGUAGUCAAGAUAUAUGUGGUAAAAGAAAAGACAAUGCGAAUUGGACCCAUUCUGUCCUAGAACAGCCAACAACACCAGGUGUAGUCGGGCCCUGAAGGGCAAGGUUGCAUGUUAAAUUCCAAGCUAUCAUUCUCAAAAGCAGGUAUGGCCUAAAGAAGUGGUGGUUCCUCCGCAGCCGGCUCUAAAUGAUGAUUCAUGGUGGGCAUCUCCAUGCAGUCAUAACCAGCUUGAUCAUAAAUGGGUUGAAGGUCAUAGCUAUAACAAGAAGGGUAUGAUUGGAUUGGUGGAACAUUAUAGGCAUAGUUAUUAUUUAAUGUGGUAUUGGUCAAAGUUAUUCAAUGGUGUUGCUGGAGGAGGAACAGAGCAAGCUGCAGGAGGAAAAUAAGACCCAUAACCAUUCUCGUUUUGCCAGGAAAUCAUUAGAGAAUCAUCAUAUUCUGCAGCAGCAAGUUGUGCAAGAAUAUCAUCAUCAGCAAGUUGUGCAAAAAUAUCAUCAGCAGCAAGUUUUGCAACCAUAUCAUCAGCUUUUGGAAAGUCUGUUUCUGAAUUUACAGUCACUUUGCCAUCUUCAUUGGGAAGUCUGUUUCUUUGCCAUCUCUGUAAGCUUCCAGAAUCCUUUACCGGCUAUUCUGUUGGAUCUAGACCCGUUUUUAUGCUUUCUCUGCUUAAUACAUGUCUCACACAAAAAAUACAAACUGAAACGCCAUACUAAACAGUUAGCUCCUGAGGACCUUGUUUAUACAAAUCAACAACGUGAAUCCUGUUACAAGGUAAGGGCUCAUUUCUGACCUUUUUCAGUAAAAAAUCAAUAAUCAGCUCAUCGUCAUGAGGAACAAAUCGAUACCCAACAGGCAACGAGUUGAAAUAUGUAUCAUUAUCAUCAUCAUGAUGACGAUUGUUACUAAUGCAACUUGCACCAACUCUAUUAAUGUCCUUGUUCUGAUUUUCCUCCAUUAUUCUUUCUGCAAGCACUCAGAGAAGGGUUUCGAUGAAGAAGCCAGAUAGUAUAGUUUUCUACUUGCAUGAAUGUGUGUUUAUUUUGGAGUAUAUAUAAGUUGUUUAGCCUGACACAUUCAUGGCGAAGUGCACUGGGAUUAGAAUUAGGAUCAUGGCUUAUUAGUAAAUAUUAGGAGUGAUUU